GAGGUGUGAGUUCUGUUACGUCAUGAGAACAGGAUAGAUGAAAAAGCGAGGAUACAGGAUGCGUUAAUUAGACAGUCGGUUUAAAUCACGUAACUAGCGGGUCUUUCUUGUUGUAGAUAUAAGUUGGCGGGCAAGAUUUCAAUCAUAAACGAAAUAAAGAAUUCAGGCUUGAAAUUGGACUCGAUAAAUGAAUAUCUUUCGACAAUCGACCAACCGUAUAACCGGAUCAGAUAAUUGAUACAGUUGUUCCGAAGGCAGGAAAAAGCCUCGUUAGAUCAUCGCGAAGGCCUGCGGAGGAAAGCGCAUGGAAUAAAACUAAUAAUUUAAUAACGGUGUACCAGAGGAAGAACUUGAUGACCAGCACGAGCGCACCGUACACCUUCACUCCAGCAGCCAUUACCGCCUCACUGAAAACUACUCAACCACUGAAUCUGAUUUCUGUCAGCU
rnacentral:lncRNA from 1 species